UGGUGGAGUGAUUUGUCUGGUUGAUUCCGUUAACGAACGAGAUCUUGGCCCUUCAGUGACAUGUCGAUCGUCUUGUAGUCCUUGCUGGGGUUUUCUUGCACCAUCGGGUUACUCAGUCUGGACGAGAUCGACACUGUACUCAAGGGGACCAUGCGGGUCAACACUGCAUGGAGGCGCGAGCCAAUAGCA
rnacentral:rRNA from 1 species